GGUGAGGUCAGCACCAUCUUCAAUCUCAGUUUCAAUAACGAUGGUAACAGCCAUGACCUUUCUAAUUUGAUUCCAGUCUUCCAGACGUUUUACUCCCUCAAAUCACGCGCCGUUUGCUCCUAGUUAAAGCCCUCGACCUCCUCUCCAUUUCCCCUAUCUCAUUUCCUCGAAUCAUGCCCCCAGGCUGCUCAAUUUCGUCGCCGAAGUCCAUCGCCCCACCACGGUAUUUCAUUGAUUCCGACCAUAUCGUCGAGAACGACCUCCACUGGAUCUCGCCGGAGCCGCCGUCUCGGCCGAAUAGGAACACGAACCCGAGGAGCACUGGGAUGUCCAGGAGAGCACACAGGACCAUCGACGCAGAUCCGUCCCGUCGCACCUCGUCAACCCUUGCCCCGAGCAGGAGGACCGCCAUCCAACGUCGAGCCGUCGUGGCCAUACUCUCAGCACGCUCGAACAAUACUACCACCUUCCGUUCGUGCGAAGAGCGACAUGUUUCCUUGAGAGAAGUGAACGAUCUUCAAUUACCAAAAAGGCAAGUGACAUUCAAGUCCUACUUAUUUUAUAUUAUGCAUUAGAGUUUUUGAGUAGUAUAUGCAUGUUGUUUUCAAAAGUGAAUUAUAUAUGCUAUGCUUAGCAAACCUAGUAGUGUGUAGCCGCUCUCAACAUCCCUGCUAGGAUGCUUUAUUUUGCUUUGCAACAUCAAAUGCCAAUGUUGUUUCAUUACUUGGUUGUGAGUGUUUAAAAUUUUGAAAGUUAACAACCUUAAUGAAACACUUGGGUGGAAUUGGAGUGGCUUGGAUUAUGUUGAGUGGCUACUCGGGGCUACAUACCUGGCGGAUUUAACCAUUGUAUGUGGUGGUGACCCGAGGGUUAGUACACUUGUGGUUUGCCACCCAGGAACAAAGAGAUUGCUAUGUCUUCCAUGUUUAGUGUACUUCCAGUGCAGCCUUAUGAUAUUAUGGGCUCUGUCUUGAUUGAGUAAGAUGUGAGGGUUCAACUUGUUGCAAGACAUUGGCUGGUAGCAGAAUUAUAGGUGGGAACGAGUCUUGCAUGUAUGGUUUCUCUCUCCUUCUGAAAGGUCUCGUCUCAUUCUUCUCCCUGGGUAGAAUGGGUCGUAAGGUGAAAGUGCACAAUCUCUGCAAAGUUAAAAACUAAGAUCUUAGCCGUGUCCCCGGUUAUGAACAAUUUGAGUCUCUAGACAAGGAUGUACGGAAUAAUCUCAUCACCUUUUCUCAAUGCUUAAAAUUUGUUUAGAAACAAUCUCAGGACUGAAUUUUCUCAGGGCUACAUACCUGGCGGUGUCACCAUUGUAUGUGGUGGUGACCUGAGAAUUAUCCCGAUCGAGUGGCCCUGAUACGUCCAAUUUGCAUCACUAUUUUAUAUCAUAAUUUGCUGUUAUUCAUUGAUAUAUUUCAUAUUUGGAGAUGAUAUUUACGUUAUUUCAUCUAUUUUGCAUGAUUCAUGAUUAUUGGAGGAUCGCGCACCGGAGCCAGGAUUCUGCUGGAAAAAGCACCGUCAGAAUGCAAUAUUUCGGAAGAUCAACAAUUGACGAAAGUUAUAUGAAAAAUCCUAUUUUUCCAGAAGAGGACGAGAGCCAGAAGGAGGAGCCGAGGAGGGCCACCAUGGGCCCCCCUCACAGGCCGGCGCGGGCCCUGCCCUGGCUGCGCCACCAUGUGGGGAGGGGGCCCACAGCCCCCUCUGGCCUCCUCUCCUUCGUGUAUUUCUUCGUCCCGAAAACCUAAGCUCAGGGGGAUAAGUCGCGAAGAGUCACAGCCGCCUCUGCGGGGCAGAGAACACCAGAGAGAAAAGAGCUCUCCGGCAGGCUGAGAUCCGCCGGGGAAAUUCCCUCCCGGAGGGGGAAAUCGACACCAUCGUCACCGCCAUCGAGCUGGACAUCAUCUCCAUCACCAUCAUCAUCAUCUCCAUCAUCAUCACCACCGUCUCCACCGCUGCACAUCGUCACCGCUGUAACAAUUUGGGUUUGAUCUUGAUUGUUUGAUAGGGGAAACUCUCCCGGUAUUGAUUUCUACUUGUUAUUGAUGCUAUUGAGUGAAACCGUUGAACCAAGGUUUAUGUUCAGAUUGUUAUUCAUCAUCAUAUCACCUCUGAUCAUUUUCCA